GGCAAAGAAGAUUUGGGGGCAACUCUAGAUAUUGGAACUCUGGGGCUAGAGUCUGUUGAAAAAUCUUGUCAGUACGCUUUACUGUAAGUUAAAUUGUUUGCAUGUACUGGAUAUCAUUUGUAAUCAUGUUUGUAACAAACUCACGUUUACCGAAGAAUCUGCAUAAGGAAUUAGCAUCCCUAUCAUGUUGGACCUCCAUGGAUCUGCCAGAGUUGUUUGUUUCUUACAUUUGUUGGGAUAACAAUGCCCCCAUUUUCUGGAUAAGGCUCUCGUGCUUAAAAUCGUGCCACAUAUGCUUUCUUAUUGCUCUACCUUCUGUCAGGUUUUUAUAUUACUUCUUUUUCUUCCUUUUUUAUCUGAAUUAUUAUUCUUUUAAUGCAUGUAGUUAUGCAGGAAAAUUUGUCUUGGUGUCUGAAUGGUAUUUGUUGUCUUGUAAUGAUAACUGCUAUGUGACUCUUAUAGGUCCCAUAUAGUUGGCAGUCGCCUAUUAGAAAUAGGGGCUGCUAGUGUGUAAAGGAGUUUGAGUUCGGGGGCAGAGAAUACUCUCUGUAGGAGACACACGUCUCUAGGACAUAAGCCAUUGUUGUAUUAUGUAUUUUUUUGGUAUAACCAAGUCUACAAUUUUAUCCUAUAAGUAAGGAACUAAUCCCUUUCGAGAUGUGUAGAUGCUCCUCCUAACAAGUGUCGUUAUCCUGAAUUGAACUUUUGACAUUUUGGCCUAUCUGGGGAUCCAAUGUAACCUUACACCACUAGACCAACGUCUUCUUAAUUUGUUGUAUUAUGUAUAUAUUAGGAGAGUUUGGUCUCUGAGAAACAAGUUUAUUGUUUUAUUGUCUGCAUUUCCCGUGUUUAUUAAUAAAAUUACUGUGUCUAAUUUUGGUGUUCUAUCAGUAAUUGCUAUUUUUACCCCCAAUGGACUACCAUUGAAGCUUGGUUGUUGUAUCAGUAUUGCUAUUUUUGGUGUGUGAAUAUAUCAUAUUUAUUUCUUUAUCCUUUCAGGCAUGGUUCUUCCAUGUAGACAUGUCCAAC
rnacentral:lncRNA from 1 species